AGGACCUUGCGCUUUUGGAGCGGCCGAUGCCUGAUUAGCUUGUUGGUAAGGUAAAAGCUUACCAAGGCUUCGAUCAGUAGCUGGUCUGAGAGGACGACCAGCCACACUGGGACUGAGACACGGCCCAGACUCCUACGGGAGGCAGCAGUGGGGAAUUUUGGACAAUGGGGGCAACCCUGAUCCAGCCAUGCCGCGUGAGUGAAGAAGGCCUUCGGGUUGUAAAGCUCUUUCAGCCGGAACGAAACGGUUACGGUUAAUACCCGUGAUUACUGACGGUACCGGAAGAAGAAGCACCGGCUAACUACGUGCCAGCAGCCGCGGUAAUACGUAGGGUGCGAGCGUUAAUCGGAAUUACUGGGCGUAAAGCGUGCGCAGGUGGUUUUGUAAGUCAGAUGUGAAAGCCCCGGGCUCAACCUGGGAACU
rnacentral:rRNA from 1 species